rnacentral:rRNA from 1 species
ACACUCCUGCGGGAGGCAGCAGUGGGGAAUAUUGGACAAUGGGCGCAAGCCUGAUCCAGCCAUGCCGCGUGAGUGAUGAAGGCCCUAGGGUUGUAAAGCUCUUUUGUGCGGGAAGAUAAUGACGGUACCGCAAGAAUAAGCCCCGGCUAACUUCGUGCCAGCAGCCGCGGUAAUACGAAGGGGGCUAGCGUUGCUCGGAAUCACUGGGCGUAAAGGGUGCGUAGGCGGGUCUUUAAGUCAGGGGUGAAAUCCUGGAGCUCAACUCCAGAACUGCCUUUGAUACUGAAGAUCUUGAGUUCGGGAGAGGUGAGUGGAACUGCGAGUGUAGAGGUGAAAUUCGUAGAUAUUCGCAAGAACACCAGUGGCGAAGGCGGCUCACUGGCCCGAUACUGACGCUGAGGCACGAAAGCGUGGGGAGCAAACAGGAUUAGAAACCCGUGUAGUCCCAU